ensembl:lncRNA
AUGGUGUUGAAGUUCAUCCUGGCUGCCUUGCUGAACAGUUAUUUUCCAUGGAAGACUUUCUUUUUCUUGGAACUGGAGGUGGGGGAGCCUCUUGUUCUCAGGCUGGGCCAGUUCAGUUUAUCCAGGUCACUCACACCAAAGGACAUGGGUGGCCGCUUGGCCCACACUCAGCAAACAGACAUAAAGGUCACCCAUGCCAGGCACAUGCCUGGUGCGGGGCCUUUGCACUUGCUUGACCUGGUGUGCCGCCACUCCAGAGAGCGGCCUGCCACUCCCUCAUUCCACCUUCCAGCUCCCCACCCCCAACUUCUCUCUUCAGUGCUUUGUUUUUCUCCCUGGCACACAUGGCUUUCUAACAUACUUUACAUUUUGCAAAUUUAUUUUGCGUAUUGUCCAUCUUUCCCCCAACAAAACUAUAGACUCUAUGAAGACAUGUUCCCUGCUGAGCCCCCGUGCCCAGGGCAGAGCCUGCACACAUGGUCAGUCCUCUGGAUUUGCUCGGGAAACAUGAAGAAGUCAACACAAAGCCCUUCUAGGUGUGGACAUUUGGGAAAGAGAAACUGCUGAACCCUCUCAGUGCUGUGCUAAGUCACUUCCGUUGUUUCCGAGUCUUUGAGAUCCUAUGGACUAUAGCCCACCAGGCUCCUCUAUCCAUGGAAUUCUGCAGGCAAGAAUAGUAGAGUGAGUUGCCAUGCCCUUUCCCGGGGGGAUCUUUCUGACCCAGGGAUACAACAUACAUCUCCCGCUUCCCCUGCACUGCAGGCAGAUUCUUUACCCCUGACCCACCGGGGAAGCCCAGAGUUUCUUGCUAAAUCAGACCUACUAGGGCUAGUGAAAGACCUCCACAAGGUCCUCAAGCCCCUACUCCCAGAAGGAUGCAACCACCACACCAGAAGACAGUGCUACUUUCCAGACUGGGGCCCCUUCUUUCAAGUGUUAACUUUUAAUGGUAUAUUCAGAGGAGUCUGCAGAGUGGCACCCAAACGGGCAUAAAUCCCAAUGUUCUCAACAAUUUCCUGCAACAGCUCAUACAUCCGAUGUACUGGGUGCUGAGGUGCCCUAUGCAGAGGUCCCCGCCCCGCCCCCGGCCCCUUACCUUUCAACCCUAUUCUCUGUACAGAGCCCACGGGGCAGGGACAGGGCUAAGGGAGGGCUGUCUGUCCAUCCCUGCGUCAGGGGCCCACACAUGCUUUGUGCAGCCAGAAGUUUAUAUAGUAGAGGAGAGUGAACGGGGUGGGAGGCGCAGCUUUAAAAGAAUAAAAAUCAGAGUCACAACAUCGUCAGAGCCCGCGCCCGCACCCUGAAGGCUUCAGAAGGGCCGGACAGGCGAGGGGCCAGAGGCUAAGUUCUCCAGCAUCCCUCCGGGGAGGGAGGCUUGCAGGAGUCUCUGGUCUCUGCUGCCCUUAGACUGGUCACAUCUCUAGGCUCCUACUGCACGGUGAACUCUUUUCCCCGGACCCAAGUUUCCUUUCCUGGGCGCUGAGCUGGGCGGGGUUGGAGCGGGAGAGAAAAACUGGAACCGCGGUUAGAGAUAGUGAGAGAGGACGUCUCAGCCAAAAGACUUGAGGUCUGUUUANNNNNNNNNNNNNNNNNNNNNNNNNNNNNNNNNNNNNNNNNNNNNNNNNNNNNNNNNNNNNNNNNNNNNNNNNNNNNNNNNNNNNNNNNNNNNNNNNNNCAAAAGACUUGAGGUCUGUUUAGGACGCCGGUGACAAACAAGUGCAUUAUGAGCCACACGCCGCCUGGAAGCUGCACUCCCCGGGAGAGCCAGGCAAGGGGGCCGCCGCUGCGCUUCCCCGCGCCCCCUCCCCCCGCGUUCGGUUGGCAGAGCGCGUGCGGGCCUCUUCCCGGAAUCCCAAGCGCCUGCGCACCGCACGCGGCGAGGCCGCGGUCGGGACCCAGCUGCGGGCGGCGGGGCAGGGGCGGCGGCGGAGGCCUGUGUGAAAGUCUCCCCGGAGCCCUGGCUGUGCGGCGCCCGCCGCCAGCGUCCCCCAGCCCUCGGGAUCGCGUUGUGCCCCUGCACCCUGGGAGCGCCCGGGCCCCCGGAAACUGCGCAGACGCCCCGGAGCGCUUACGGUCGUCGGCUCCCUGGUUCCUGGGCUUGGCGGUCCCUCCGGCUCCGGCUCUCCGGGUUCCCCUGCUCCCGAUUCGCGCGUCCCCUGACUACCCUGCGCUGACCCCGCCCGGGCUCGGCCCCCCAGCGGGCGGGCCGGGCCACCGAGGUUCAGUCCCGCUCCGCCCCUGUUACCUGGGCCACCCGGAUGACUCUGCACCUUCCUAAGCCCGCCUCUGCUUUGGAAGAGGGCUCUCAGAGUGCAGCCUGCGGUCAGAAACGGUGCUGAAGUUCUUGGUCACUGAAUCAAUAAACAAACAAACCUCAAGCUUCAGCCUUGUGUAACUUUUUAAACCAGUUCAUUAUUAUUGUAUUUUACACGUGUAUUGUGUGUCCAGGACAGAUUGGGGAAUUUUAAAGCAAACAAACCUGUCUUUCAACACACAGUCUGAGAAACACUAGUCUGAGUGAAAUUUGAACCCGCACAAAGAGGUCUUCAUGGUGAGGACUGAGAUAUACAAAGUGGAGCUGGACGCCUGGAGAGUAGCUUGUUCCUGGCUAAUAAAAAAAACUCAACUUAGUUCCCUCUCCAAACCUUUGCUUAUGUAGUAUUCCUGGAAAGGAUGCUCUCCUGCAUCCAAAUAUGACCUACUGUUCUUUAAUCCCACACCUUCCUAGUGAGGCCUGAUCUCAUCCCUGCAGUCUCUGACAUCUCUGUACGCCUUCAGAACUUGCAGUCUGUGAGAUUCCUCCAUGCCUCACCAAAUCUUUCAAACAGAAGCUCUGCCUCUGGCCAUUUUACCAAGGGACUCAAAUUUGUUAUCUUUCAAACUCAGUGAUGAUGAAAGCAUCCUAAAAUUAGAUAUUGGUGAUGACUAUAUCACCAUAACUCUGUGACUACACUAAAAACUACUGAAUUGUACACUUUAAAAGGAUUAAUUUUAUAGUAUGUGAAUUAUAUCUCAGCAAAACUGUCAUUUUUGUAUUAAAAAAAAAACUGCACUGAGGUUGUAACCGCACUCCUCAUUCCUGUGUCCUAAAAUCCUCGUCAUACGUCCUUGGUUAGAUUUCAACAAACUCACUCAGAAGGAUAAUGCAGAUAGUGGAGUGCAGUUUAUCACACCAGCGGGCCCAAGGCAGAGUCUCCU